rnacentral:rRNA from 1 species
AGAGUUUGAUCCUGGCUCAGGAUGAACGCUGGCGGCGUGCCUAAUACAUGCAAGUCGAGCGAACGGACGAGAAGCUUGCUUCUUUGAUGUUAGCGGCGGACGGGUGAGUAACACGUGGAUAACCUACCUAUAAGACUGGGAUAACUUCGGGAAACCGGAGCUAAUACCGGAUAAUAUUUUGAACCGCAUGGUUCAAAAGUGAAAGACGGUCUUGCUGUCACUUAUAGAUGGAUCCGCGCUGCAUUAGCUAGUUGGUAAGGUAACGGCUUACCAAGGCAACGAUGCAUAGCCGACCUGAGAGGGUGAUCGGCCACACUGGAACUGAGACACGGUCCAGACUCCUACGGGAGGCAGCAGUAGGGAAUCUUCCGCAAUGGGCGAAAGCCUGACGGAGCAACGCCGCGUGAGUGAUGAAGGUCUUCGGAUCGUAAAACUCUGUUAUUAGGGAAGAACAUAUGUGUAAGUAACUGUGCACAUCUUGACGGUACCUAAUCAGAAAGCCACGGCUAACUACGUGCCAGCAGCCGCGGUAAUACGUAGGUGGCAAGCGUUAUCCGGAAUUAUUGGGCGUAAAGCGCGCGUAGGCGGUUUUUUAAGUCUGAUGUGAAAGCCCACGGCUCAACCGUGGAGGGUCAUUGGAAACUGGAAAACUUGAGUGCAGAAGAGGAAAGUGGAAUUCCAUGUGUAGCGGUGAAAUGCGCAGAGAUAUGGAGGAACACCAGUGGCGAAGGCGACUUUCUGGUCUGUAACUGACGCUGAUGUGCGAAAGCGUGGGGAUCAAACAGGAUUAGAUACCCUGGUAGUCCACGCCGUAAACGAUGAGUGCUAAGUGUUAGGGGGUUUCCGCCCCUUAGUGCUGCAGCUAACGCAUUAAGCACUCCGC